GUUGAACGCUGGCGGCAUGCCUUACACAUGCAAGUCGAACGGUAACAGGUCUUCGGAUGCUGACGAGUGGCGAACGGGUGAGUAAUACAUCGGAACGUGCCUAGUAGUGGGGGAUAACUACUCGAAAGAGUGGCUAAAACCGCAUGAGAUCUACGGAUGAAAGCAGGGGAUCGCAAGACCUUGUGCUACUAGAGCGGCCGAUGGCAGAUUAGGUAGUUGGUGGGAUAAAAGCUUACCAAGCCGACGAUCUGAAGCUGGUCUGAGAGGACGAUCAGCCACACUGGGACUGAGACACGGCCCAGACUCCUACGGGAGGCAGCAGUGGGGAAUUUUGGACAAUGGGCGCAAGCCUGAUUCAGCAAUGCCGCGUGCAGGAUGAAGGCCUUCGGGUUGUAAACUGCUUUUGUACGGAACGAAAAGCCCCGGGUUAAUACCCUGGGGUCAUGACGGUACCGUAAGAAUAAGCACCGGCUAACUACGUGCCAGCCGCCGCCGUAA
rnacentral:rRNA from 1 species